CAGCCAGGAUGUUGGCUUAGAAGCAGCCAUCAUUUAAAGAAAGCGUAAUAGCUCACUGGUCGAGUCGGCCUGCGCGGAAGAUGUAACGGGGCUAAACCAUGCACCGAAGCUGCGGCAGCGACACUCAGGUGUUGUUGGGUAGGGGAGCGUUCUGUAAGCCUGCGAAGGUGGCCUGUGAGGGUUGCUGGAGGUAUCAGAAGUGCGAAUGCUGACAUAAGUAACGAUAAAGCGGGUGAAAAGCCCGCUCGCCGGAAGACCAAGGGUUCCUGUCCAACGUUAAUCGGGGCAGGGUGAGUCGACCCC
rnacentral:rRNA from 1 species